CAAAUGUAUGUGGAUACAUAUAAUAUAACUCGCGUGUCAUUUAUGGUCGGUUACACCCAAAAAGAAGGGUAUACUAAAAGGGUGAAAAAUAAAAUUUAACUGUGUCAUUCUUUUGCGUAGUGCGUUGACAAUAUGUUGUCAAAUUUCUUCAUUUGUGCAACGGGAAGCGGAAAUGUUUAAAAAUCAUGAUUAAGCCAUACACAUGUUUGUCCGAUAAAUUCGUUUGAAAGAUGGACGCAAAACAGCCGAUGUCCUGCAAAUACUCUACAUA